CAAAAUUAUUCAUCUAAUAGUAGAUGUUAUGUUCAAAUCACUUCAUAUAUCCCUCAUUAAUACACAAAUAAAUAAAAUCAACUAUAAAGCGUACUAAUAUAAUUACAAUAAUAAUUUCAUUCAUAGUACUUUCUAUGUUAAAAUUUAGCACUUAAAUAUUAUAACAUUUGCAAUAUAUAUUAAAAUUUUUUAUAGGUUCCUCACCAGGAUUCGUGCACCAACCCAAAUGAGUCUUUGAAGCAAUCAUUGAUUCAUUGUUACAGCAAAAGUAAAGAGAGAGAGAGAGAGAG
rnacentral:misc_RNA from 1 species